ensembl:lncRNA
CACCCCUCGCUUCUCCCUGGGUCUGGGCACCCAGGCGCAUUCAAAGUGCCGGCGCUCCUCGACCAGUAAGCGGCUUUCCUGAGGUCCGAUUGCGUAGAAGGGAUCAGUCCGUCUAUAAAAGAUAAAGGUGGAAGAUUGAACAUUGGUUGAACAAAACAUGGAGAGCCAAGAAGAAUAUUUGGUUUUUAUUUUAAAGUUUGAAGUUGAUGAAAAAUGAAACUACUUAUCAUGACGCCUAAAAGAAGUUUUAAACACUCCAAAUUGGCACCAUAUAUUAGGAACUUAAGUAUUAGGAAAGAUAUACUACCAGUAUUGGCCAUUUUAUUUUGGUCCCAAUGUAGACGGAUGGAAUGAAGGCAGCCAUGAACUCCUAAUCAUUGAAGAUUUUGUUCUCUGGGGUGAGGACUGCCUUUAAAGGCCCUGCACUGAAAGAGGAGAUGUGGGACUUUUCAUGAAAGAUAGCCAUGACCAGCUGAUUGCUCUCCAGGAAAGGAAACUGCAAAGCCAAGAGGAUGGAGCCCGAGACUGGGAGUUAGAAGCCACUGAAGUUGCCAGGGUAGAGCAAGCAGGAACAGCCAAGUGUGAGUAGGCAAUGAAGACAGCCUCAUUGUGGAGCAAGUGUGGAACCGGAUGCCUGAGAAAAUUUAAAACAAAGGCCAUAAAUACCAGGAUCUGCCCUGGGUUUUCUUUCAUGUGUGCCCAGAUGUGCUACAAACACACAGGCGAAGAGUUUAAAGUACCUACUAUGGAGCUAUGGCUAAAUAUAUCUGAGCCAUAAAAAGUAAUAGGACAAGUAACUAAUAUUAAGUGUAUUAGUAAAGCUCGUAAAGAAAUGAUAAUGUUAAUAAAAUAAUUAUAUCUGUAUAUUGCAGGAAAGAAUUUCAUAGUCACAGAAAAAGGUGUAUAAAAAAGGAGAUUAUUUUUAUGAGACUAAAUUUCUCUCUCAAGCCCUCAAAUACAGAGAAGUAAUUCAAUGUUUUCUUCUUUUAUUUUUUCUUUCCUGGGAAUGACUUUUUAAGAUUUUUUUAAAAUUUAAUGCUUGCAGAGGGGAAAAGAGAAGUAGGAAAAUAUAUGGCCAAAAGAAUGGGUUUUCCUUUUCAGAAGAGCUACAGAAGGUUGUUCAACUCCUUGGAUGAGAAAAGAGUUAUAAAGGAUAUAAGAAUGCAGAAAAUUGGUGACUCCUGAAGUGGGAGAACUAGGCCUAGAAUAACUGCAAAGAAUGUUAAUCUCUUAUGAUCUUAUAAUUUGUUUUUACUCUAACCACUCUUCUAGGAAUACAGAAGUAUAAAAUCUUUUGAUAUAAAUUCAAUC